UAAUACGUAGGAUCCAAGCGUUGUCCGGAUUUAUUGGGUUUAAAGGGUGCGCAGGCGGCCUGAUAAGUCAGUGGUGAAAGCCCGUUGCUUAACAACGGAAUUGCCAUUGAUACUGUCGGGCUUGAGUACAGUUGAGGUUGGCGGAAUGUAUCAUGUAGCGGUGAAAUGCUUAGAUAUGAUACAGAACACCGAUUGCGAAGGCAGCUGACUAAGCUGUUACUGACGCUCAGGCACGAAAGCGUGGGGAUCAAACAGGAUUAGAUACCCUGGUAGUCCACGCUGUAAACGUUGAUAACUCGAUGUUGGCGAUAUAUGGUCAGCGUCCAAGCGAAAGCGUUAAGUUAUCCACCUGGGGAGUACGCCGGCAACGGUGAAACUCAAAGGAAUUGACGGGGGCCCGCACAAGCGGUGGAGCAUGUGGUUUAAUUCGAUGAUACGCGAGGAACCUUACCUGGGCUUAAAUGGGAUCGGACAGUUGCAGAAAUGCGAUCUCCCUUC
rnacentral:rRNA from 1 species